UAGGGAAUCUUCGGCAAUGGGGGCAACCCUGACCGAGCAACGCCGCGUGAGUGAAGAAGGUUUUCGGAUCGUAAAGCNCUGUUGUAAGUCAAGAACGGGUGUGAGAGUGGAAAGUUCACACUGUGACGGUAGCUUACCAGAAAGGGACGGCUAACUACGUGCCAGCAGCCGCGGUAAUACGUAGGUCCCCGAGCGUUGUCCGGAUUAUUGGGCGUAAAGCGAGCGCAGGCGGUUUGAUAAGUCUGAAG
rnacentral:rRNA from 1 species